ACCAUCAUGUCUCUCUUCCCUGAUUCCUACUGGAAACGAUAAUUGAAGUUGGAUUUUUGCAAGAUUUCUCCUGCGAGAGUUGAUUCAUCUUCUCCUUCUGCCAAUUUCACCGUUAAUCAAACCAGAAAUAUCAAGAAAUCGAUGCGAAAGAAAUCUUGAAGGAAAUUCCUGACAUGUGUAUUAUGGAUUGAAUGAACUAAUACUCAAAUCCAAGGACUCUUUUUUGGCGGCAGAAGUUCCAUUGGCUUGGCACCAGACUUGUUGUUGCAUUUGAUAGUUUAUCUUUCGUUGUUGCAAGAAUUAGUACUUUUUUGUUUUCGUAGAAAAAAACACAAUAUUCUUUUGUGUAACUGUUUUUUUUUGCGUUAAAAUUGUAGUUUCUGAACUUAGAAUA